GACGAACGCUGGCGGCGUGCUUAACACAUGCAAGUCGUACGGAAAGGCCCUGCUUUUGUGGGGUGCUCGAGUGGCGAACGGGUGAGUAACACGUGAGUAACCUGCCCUUGACUUUGGGAUAACUUCAGGAAACUGGGGCUAAUACCGGAUAGGAGCUCCUGCUGCAUGGUGGGGGUUGGAAAGUUUCGGCGGUUGGGGAUGGACUCGCGGCUUAUCAGCUUGUUGGUGGGGUAGUGGCUUACCAAGGCUUUGACGGGUAGCCGGCCUGAGAGGGUGACCGGCCACAUUGGGACUGCGAUACGGCCCAGACUCCUACGGGAGGCAGCAGUGGGGAAUAUUGCACAAUGGGCGGAAGCCUGAUGCAGCAACGCCGCGUGCGGGAUGACGGCCUUCGGGUUGUAAACCGCUUUCGCCUGUGACGAAGCGUGAGUGACGGUAAUGGGUAAAGAAGCACCGGCUAACUACGUG
rnacentral:rRNA from 1 species